rnacentral:lncRNA from 1 species
CAUAGACGAGAGCCACAUCCACUGUGUGAUGAUGCAUAGAGAUAUUGUUCCCAGGGCCUUCUCCUGCAAUUACCCAAAUCAUGUAGCUGUAGUCCUUAAGCGCUUAAACAGCUCCUUUCGCUCACAUCCUUGUCUGCUGAAAAAUGUAAGCAUCAUCAUUCUAUCAAUUCUUGCAUAAUAGUCAUACAAAAAAUCCAAAUUUAUUCACAUCAUUUGGCCGCAGGUUUAUAUUUAUAUUGCUUUCUGGCAUGACUUUUGGCUUGAAGCUUAUUUUAUAAACUCCUAAUGAACCCGCCUAAUAUAAAAUAUGAAAUGCUGCUGUACUCAGCAGUGGGUAAAAAAUAUUCAUUCAUUUUCUUUGGAAAUUUUUCAGAAGCUGUUGUACUCACCACUGGGUAAAAUAUUCAUUCUCCAACCCGAUGAGAAGACGUCUCCUCCACAUCCUUUACUCCCUCGAGGAAGUGCCUUCUAUGCCCUGGACAAUACUAAACGUGGAUACUCUCCAAGUGUUCUCAGAACCUUCCUGAAUCAACCACACCCCAUUGACACACUAAGUGACCCAACAGCAUAUGGUUCAGAAGGCACAAUUCUGAGAGACCACGAUUCCAGUAACUACCUUAAAGCCGUCAAUGGAGUCUUGAGGGAACAUUCUAAGAUUCUCGUUCGCAGAGCAAGUAAGCAAAGGAUUAAUCAGUUAUGGCCACUUUUGACAUCACCAUCUCCACACUCAUGGAGCCAUGAACAGAACUU